rnacentral:lncRNA from 1 species
CAAUGCCGGAUCCUUAACCUACUGAGCAAGGCCAGGGAUGAAACCGCAACCGCAUGGUUCCUGGUGGGAUUGGUUAACCACUGUGCCACGACGGGAACUCCAAAAAAGCCUCAAUGUUUUUUAAAUGAACACGGCCUUGGGAGAUCUUCCAUGAGAAGCUGGCGCCUUUGCAAAGGGGUCUUCGCUGUCUUCUUUGGGGAAACUGACUCAACUCUGCCUUCUGUCUGCGUGCCUGCGGUCCCCAACGGCAGGAAGACCUGUGGCCGCAGUGCAGAGGAUGCUGUGACGCUCACAGUGUUUUCUUUUCUCUCAUCACAGGUGGACGGGACGGACGAUGAAAGCUUGUGGAGCAUUGUGAGUCUGUGUGGCAGCAACCACGAAGAAAGUGAUACAGGUAAGAAUAGCUCUCAGGUAGGGGCCAGUGGGAGAGGGUUCGCGGGACACUUGGGUUAUGCCUGCUGCUUGGAGGGUGGGGCGGGUGAGUCUGCAAUUGAAAAACAGAAAGAAAUUGGUGUAAAGAUGUUCGUCGCCUAUUUUCCUAAGGAGGGGGAGCAGGUAUGAGAUGCCCGAAUGUUGGCAUCUGUGCUCGCAUUGUGUUGAAGGGUCUCAGUCCUGGAGCAGAGGGACGGUCUGGGCACCUGGAGGAAAAACCAGGGUGAUGCUCUGUGACCUGCUAUCACCUCGGGGAAGCGGGGGAAACGGGAGGGCCACUCCUUCUCACGCCUCGCUUCCCCGCGGUGUGUUUCUACAGACUUGGUGGCGGAGAGCACCGACUGCCGCCAGGAUGAGGAGGCUGCAGGUAGGGAAGAGCACACAGCUGGGAUCCAGGGGGAGAGGGUUCCUGGGAGCAGCUGGGUUCCACCUGCUGCCGGGAGAGGGAGGAAGGGGGGGAUAGGACUUGGCAGGUGGUGGGUGGGUGGCCUAAUGAGUGGAACCCUGAUGUGGUGUUUUCCCCUCCGAAAUUGAUAACACGAAGAAGACUUGUGUCCCUGGUCUUUGUCGUGCUGUGUUUGGAUUCCUGUCUCCUUCCUUUGAGAGGGAGAAUCGAUUUUCCCUCCCAAAGCUGCUCCUUCCAGCUCUUGUCUCUGGCCAUUGUGCCAGCUUGCUUUGUGGGUCGCACCCUGAGGGUCCUGUGCCCAAGAGCUGUUGACUUAGUUUCCUUUGUUGCCCUUGAGGGACCUGAUGUGGUGGGACGCAACCCUCUCCUAGGGCCUUGACCCUGGAGACCAAGUUCGUCUGGUGAGUGUGAGGUGGUGGGUGAGAAGGCGCUGUCUCCCUCUGGAUGUUCAGGAU